GAUGAACGCUGGCGGCGUGCUUAACACAUGCAAGUCGAACGAUGAAGCCCAGCUUGCUGGGUGGAUUAGUGGCGAACGGGUGAGUAACACGUGAGUAACCUGCCCUUGACUCUGGGAUAAGCCUGGGAAACUGGGUCUAAUACUGGAUAUGACUUCUCAUCGCAUGGUGGGGGGUGGAAAGAUUUAUUGGUCUUGGAUGGACUCGCGGCCUAUCAGCUUAUUGGUGAGGUAAUGGCUCACCAAGGCGACGACGGGUAGCCGGCCUGAGAGGGUGACCGGCCACACUGGGACUGAGACACGGCCCAGACUCCUACGGGAGGCAGCAGUGGGGAAUAUUGCACAAUGGGCGCAAGCCUGAUGCAGCGACGCCGCGUGAGGGAUGACGGCCUUCGGGUUGUAAACCUCUUUCAGUAGGGAAGAAGCGAGAGUGACGGUACCUGCAGAAGAAGCGCCGGCUAACUACGUG
rnacentral:rRNA from 1 species